rnacentral:lncRNA from 1 species
CAGCCAAAGUGGCCGGGGUCACCGUGAUCACCGUGCCCAAACAGUUCCUUUCCAAAUAUUUUUAUUUUUUUAUUUUCUAGCACUAAUUAUAUAUGUCUGAGUGUUGGCAAGAGUAAGGAGAUAAACAUGGAUUAUUUCUCUUACUAAAUUUUGUUAUUUUUUCUAAUCCUUCAGCUUUGCUUUUAAAUUUACUUAACAACACAGAUAUAAUACUUUUGCAUGGAUUAAACAAAGUUUUAAUUUGGGCUGUUCAAGGAAAAAAAAACGUAAAAUUCGGCCCACCUGUACAGAUACAGCCCAACAUUAGUCAAAUAGUACAUGCGAGUUUAGUCCAGCUGCAGC